GUUUGCUGGUAAUUUACUCAAGGGGCAGACAGUUGGAGUGAUUGGAGCAGGUUAUAUUGGAUGAAAGAAUAAAAUCUAUUGUUUCUAUGUUUAUUUCUAAUUUAGUUUAUUCUUUGAUGCACUUAAUGAUUUGUUAUUGAUGGCCUUGAUACAUGAAAUCUAGAAACUCCUGCAUCAAAAACCAAUGAGAACAGAUGGAUAAGAAUGAAGUGCAGCCAGAAGGUCCUUCCUCUAAAGACAAUGGCCACAUCAAAAGAACAGCUAUAGAUGCCUUUUUCUCAUCUUUGUGGUGACUAGUCAAUGGUAAAAAAAAUGAAAAUCUGGUCAAAGACUCCAUGCACAGAAGUUGUUUCUUGAGGGGAUUGGAUUUUUUCCUUGGAGGUUCAUCAAGCUUAAGGUACAGAGCUUUGUAAUUUGGUCUGGCUUGUUGUGAAAAGUUUAAGGUCUUUUGUGACAAUCAAUCAAUAGGCGUUGAGCCUUCCCUCAUAGUUAAUAUAUGAAUAUGAUAUGUAUGACAUUAGCUGUUCAACGCAUCAUUUGGAAGUUUUUACUCUCAUUCCUUUAUUACUUUUCAGAUGUAAGUCAAUUUUGGAGGGAGUUACAAUCAUAGCCCUCUGGUAUCUAUUGGACUGUCAGACUGAUUGGCCAUGAACGUAGUAAGGUGGGCCCACAAUUUCCCAACCUAAGUUUCAGCUGAUUCUGGACAUUCAUGGAAGAAGUAUGGGUCGAUAUACGUCCAGGAUGAACCUUUGAGUGUGAUUCAACCAGUUCCUUACCAGACUGCAAAUGGGGCACUACGCAUUCUAUUACAAUCAGUUGAAGCUAUAGGUAGAAUUUGUAAGUCGAAAUCAAUGGAAAUAGGGGAAUUGUCAGGGCAAAAUUCAAGUCGAACUUGCCACCCAAAUCAAUGGGGAAUAAGGCGUGGGUUUUCAUUUACCCUAACAUGUUCUAUCUCAUUCGCGGCCUUGAAUGGAAAGAGCAGACAGUCCCUCAUAAUGUUGUUCUGUUUUCUCUACCGCCCCACCCAACACUUACACAUCUGCCAUAGAAGCCCUGCCAACCGUGAAUUUGGCAGUGCACUCAAGCACACCCAAAAUAACCUUUUGAUUCUGUGUAUGGUAUAUACUAUGAUCAAUGUUCAGUAUUUUGAUUGUGUUGUGGUUUUUUAGGUUGUAUUGUUCGAAGGUUGGAUGCUUGGUUUCAAACCUCUACCAAACGAAGUCCUCAAAGCAGUUAACCCACAGUUGGAGAUCAUAAACAAAAAACUUGAAGCUUAUUAUGAUGCAUGGGAUAAGUUCAUACAGUCGUGGAUAAUUAUCAAGAUCAAGGACCCAAGCUACGUCUUUCGGUGGUGGUUGCAGGUUUGUAACAUUUUCAUAAAUGGAAGUU